GUUAUAAAACAUUUAAGAAUGUGGAUUUUAGGGUUAUUUUGGCGCCCCCUAGAACCUAAACCAUGGGGUGCAGCAUCAUGAUUUGAAUAACUUUUAAUGGCCAUGGGGUGUAGAUUGGCCUGAGCAAAUAUGGUGCCGGUGGAACGAAAGCCUUCGGAGGAGUUAGCGAAAUUCCAAUGUGUGCGUAUCGGCAAAAAAUGCGGAAUAACCCUUUAACUAUACAUUUGACAGAUACGCGCGCAUGGACUUUUUUGUAGAUCUUAUUGAGUUACAUGUGUGUGUCAAUUUUUGUGUCAUUUUGACAAAGCGUAUAGGCGUGACACUCAACAAUGUGUAUUUUCACCUUAGGGGACAAGAAAAAAUGGACUUUUUUCUCCUGCCAUGGGGGGCGCUCUUUUGGGGAGUAAAAAUUCCUUCACAAAUGUGUUGAUGGCUGGACAUUGCAUCAUCCUAGAAAACUUGGAGGCCAGUGAGGACAAAAAUAAAAAGUUAUAAGACUUUUAAAUAUGUGGAUUUUAGUGUUAUCUUUGGCGCCCCCUAGAACCUAAACCUUGGGGUGCAGCGUCAUGAUUUUGAUAACUUUUAAUGGCCACGGGGUGUAGAUUGGCCUGAGCAAAUGUGGUGCCGGUGGAACGAAAGCCUUCGGAGGAGUUAGCGAAAUUCCAAUGUGUGCGGAUCGGAAAAAAAUGCGAAAUAACCCUUUAACCGUACAUUUGACAGAUACGGCCGCACUGACUUUUUUGUAGAUCUUAUUGAGAUACAUAUGUGUGUCAAUUUUUGUGUCAAUAUGACAAAGCGUACAGGCGUGACAGUCAAUAGUGUGAAUUUCUACCUUAGGGGGCGCUAUGGAGCCAUUUUGCAUUUUAUUGUUUGGGCGACUUCAGAAUAUCAAAUUUUUCACCAGGCCCGGUCGUCCUGCCAAAUUUCAUGAGUUUUCGCCAGUGGGAAGUGGGCCAUUUUCCAGUUCAAAGGGGAGGAAAAAGAAAAAAGAAAGAAAGAAACAAAGAAAAACCACUUGGGGAAUAAUAGGGCCUACGCCCGGCUGCUCUGCAGCUGGCUCGGGCCCUAAUAAUAACAAAAGAAGAAUCCAUCAGGAACAAGAGGGCUCUCGCAGCUGCUUAGCAGCUACGCUCGGGCCCUAAGAAAGAAACAAAGAAAAACCACUUGGGGAAUAAUAGGGCUCUCGCAGCUGCUUAGCAGCUACGCUCGGGCCCUAACAAAAGAAGGAAACAUGCAGGAACAAGAGGGCUCUCGCAGCUGCUUAGCAGCUACGCUCGGGCCCUAAAAACCACUUGGGGAAUAAUAGGGCUCUCGCAGCUGCUUAGCAGCUACGCUCGGGCCCUAAUAACAAAAGAAGGAAACAUGCAGGAACAAGAGGGCUCUCGCAGCUGCUUAGCAGCUACGCUCGGGCCCUAAAGAAAGAAAGAAAGAAAGAAAGAAAGAAAGAAGAAAGAAAAACCUAUACAGGAAUAAUAGGGCUCUACGCCCGGCUGCUCUGCAGCUGGCUCGGGCCCUAAAGAAAGAAACAAAGAAAAACCACUUGAGGAACAACAGGGCCUACGCCCGGCUGCUCUGCAGCUGGCUCGGGCCCUAAGAAAGAAAGAAAGAAAGAAACAAAGAAAAACCACUUGAGGAACAACAGGGCCUACGCCCGGCUGCUCUGCAGCUGGCUCGGGCCCUAAAAAGAAACAAAGAAAAACCACUACAGGAAUAAUAGGGCCUCGCAGCUGCUUAGCAGCUACGCUCGGGCCCUAAUAAGUGUGCCCCCCUAAAAAAAAGUAAUGCCCACCCUCUCAUUUGCUUCUGCAGCUGGGUGUGUUCUCACAUACCUUUUCUUAGCCAGCCUGACGUUUCAGCAGUGAAGGGGGUGACCUUCCUCCUCU
rnacentral:lncRNA from 1 species